UUUUUUCCCCGGCAGUUAGUUAGUUUAGUGCUAGCGUAGUUAGACGCUGUAGAAUAGCUGAAGCUUUUUGCUUUUUUUUUCUUUUUCUUUUUUUGUCCUUUUUUCCUUCCUUUUUGCUUUUUUUGUCCUCUCCUCGGAACUGUUCCAACCUCUCCGGACUAAGGACCUGGGGAAGCACCGGGGGCCUCCACAGGGGACUCACCCCACCAAGACCAGCCCUGCACAUCUCCUUUUCUCCCAGCGUCAGCAGAGACGGAGCGGUGGAGCACAGUGACCACCCUCGAGGAGACUUUCUUUAAGUUUGUUAUCCCUCCAAUCACUGAAUUGUUAGGGUUGGGAAGGACCUUUGGAGAUCACCCAGUCCAAGGCAGGGGCACCUGGAGCAGGAAGGUGUCCAGGUGGGUUUGGGAUGUCUCCAGAGAGGCAGCUGUUCCAGGGCUCUGCCGCCUCCAUGGUUCUAACAUGAUUUUGAAAAUCGAUGGGAAAAAAAAGAAGAUCGUAGGAUGACCACUUAUACCAAGGAGCCCGACUGGGUGGUGUGAGAUGAAUGAAACAAGGACAGAAAACAAAGAAUGUGGGCACUGGAUUGAAACAAUCAUUGAAAGACAUUGAUCAAGUCUGUUUCCUUGGUGUUACUCAAUAAUUUUCCUAAUUUGCAUUGGUAGAAGCUGAGGCACGCGUACACCGUAGGUCAAAGGUGGCUCUGCGCUGAUAAUUAUUGAAGGUUUUGGGCCUCAGUGCCUCCUUGGGUUCCUAUGCACAUUCCAAAUUGAAUUCCAGCUGUUCUGCUCCCUCUGGGAAGGGCAGACAGAUGUGCACACCCUGGGCUGGGUCCAAACCUUAGCCUGGGCAUCGCUGCCACCGAUGGAGCUGCACAGAGGGUUCCAAAGCACAGCCCAGAUCUCAACUCUGAUCCAAAAAAACCCACUCAAGUAUUCAAUACUUUCCUCAGCAUUUUAGAACGAAGUCGUUCCACAAAGACAGAAAAAUAUAAAUUUGUUGUAAGUGUUGUAUGAAAAAUUUGCAGUCAUAUCAAGUGCAUGAAAUCAAAGAAAUGAGCAAAUCUGCUUUGGAUACACUGCAAAAGUGAUAGAGCACAGUUAAAACAAUAUAAAAAUCUUAUUAAAUAGCUAAAUCUGGAAGCAUCUUAUAUUGUUUUAGCAUUGGAAUUAGAAUUCCAUAUAAACUGAGUACCUCAAGACUGCUUUGCAGAAAUUGGUGCUUGAGUUGAAACAGUGCUAUAAAUAUUUGGGGGCUUUUAGCACAGGAGGUUCCCAGCCCAGGAUCUCAGACUCUGCACAUCCAGAUCCCUCAAAUAAAGCAAAUUUACUUGACCAGUUUCUGAAACCUAAAGUAAACUUGGCUAAGACCUAUUUAUAUAGCAUCAAACCAAUAUAUACCGAACAGUCACAAAAUGAAUAUGGCCAUUCCAAGCCACUGCACUUAAACUGGAUGUUAUUUGUAAAUUACUGUAAAAUGCACAUUCUUUGAGAAGGAGUUCCU